GACGAACGCUGGCGGCGUGCUUAACACAUGCAAGUCGAACGGAAAGGCCCUGCUUUUGUGGGUUGCUCGAGUGGCGAACGGGUGAGUAACACGUGAGUAACCUGCCCUUGACUUUGGGAUAACUUCAGGAAACUGGGGCUAAUACCGGAUAGGAGCUCCUGCUGCAUGGGGGUGGUUGGAAAGUUUCGGCGGUUGGGGAUGGACUCGCGGGUUAUCAGCUUGUUGGUGGGGUAGUGGCUUACCAGGGCUUUGACGGGUAGCCGGCCUGAGAGGGUGACCGGCCACCUUAGGCCUGAGAUACGGACCAGACUCCAACGGGAGGCAGCAGUGGAGAAUCUUGCACAAUGGGCGGAAGCCUGAUGCAGCAACGCCGCGUGCGGGAUGACGGCCUUCGGGUUGUAAACCGCUUUCGCCUGUGACGAAGAGUGAGUGACGGUAAUGGGUAAAGAAGCACCGGCUAACUACGUG
rnacentral:rRNA from 1 species